UACAGGGGGGGCAAGCGUUGUUCGGAAUUACUGGGCGUAAAGGGCUCGUAGGUGGCCGACUAAGUCGGACGUGAAAUCCCUCAGCUUAACUGGGGAACUGCGUCCGAUACUGGAUGGCUUGAGUCUGGGAGAGGGAUGCGGAAUUCCAGGUGUAGCGGUGAAAUGCGUAGAUAUCUGGAGGAACACCGGUGGCGAAGGCGGCAUCCUGGACCAACACUGACACUGAGGAGCGAAAGCCAGGGGAGCAAACGGG
rnacentral:rRNA from 1 species